AUACGGAGGGUGCAAGCGUUAUCCGGAAUCAUUGGGUUUAAAGGGUCCGUAGGCGGGCUAAUAAUUCAGGGGUGAAAUCCCACAGCUUAACUGUGGAACUGCCCUUGAUACUGUUGGUCUUGAGUUACAGUGAAGUGGUUAGAAUGUGUAGUGUAGCGGUGAAAUGCAUAGAGAUUACACAGAAUACCGAUUGCGAAGGCAGAUCACUAACUGUAUACUGACGCUACUGGACGAAAGCGUGGGGAGCGAACAGGAUUAGAAACCCCAGUAGUCC
rnacentral:rRNA from 1 species